CUUCACCGAGCCGAGCCACAGGGGCCGGUCCCCGGGACGCUGGGCGCCGUAGGUGGCGAGCAGGGCCUCCGCCUC
rnacentral:antisense_RNA from 1 species